AGCAGCUGAAGAGUCCUAAAUACGACGAAACGCGCGUCCUGAAU
rnacentral:hammerhead_ribozyme from 1 species